rfam:Coxiella sp. RIFCSPHIGHO2_12_FTLL_42_15 rifcsphigho2_12_scaffold_571, whole genome shotgun sequence.
GGUAACGUCUGUCAAUGACAGCGGAUGCUAUCCUAACUUAAAUCCAACUUUUGUAGAUGAGGUGUAUGAUGUCAUUAACUGCUCAAGAGAAAGAUCAAAUCAUUAAAGAAUAUCAGCAAGCGGAA